GUGGGGAAUCUUGGACAAUGGGGGAAACCCUGAUCCAGCAAUGCCGCGUGGGUGAAGAAGGCCUUCGGGUUGUAAAGCCCUUUCAGUGGGGAAGAAAAGCUUCGUGCUAAUACCACGGAGUCUUGACGUUACCCAAAGAAGAAGCAACGGCUAACUCUGUGCCAGCAGCCGCGGUAAUACAGAGGUUGCAAGCGUUAAUCGGAAUUACUGGGCGUAAAGCGCGCGUAGGUGGCAAGUUAAGUCGGAUGUGAAAGCCCUGGGCUCAACCUAGGAAUCGCACUCGAUACUGGCUCGCUCGAGUUUGGUAGAGGAGAGUGGAAUUCCCGGUGUAGCGGUGAAAUGCGUAGAUAUCGGGAGGAACAUCAGUGGCGAAGGCGGCUCUCUGGACCAAAACUGACACUGAGGCGCGACAGCGUGGGGAUCAAACAGGAUUAGAUACCCGGGUAGUCC
rnacentral:rRNA from 1 species